CCUGGUUGAUUCUGCCAGUAGUCAUAUGCUUGUCUCAAAGAUUAAGCCAUGCAUGUCUAAGUAUAAGCAAUUAUACCGCGAAACUGCGAAUGGCUCAUUAAAUCAGUUAUCGUCUAUUUGAUAGUACCUUACUACUUGGAUAACCGUGGUAAUUCUAGAGCUAAUACAUGCUGAAAACCCCGACUUCGGAAGGGAUGUAUUUAUUAGAUUAAAAACCAAUGCCCUUCGGGGCUCCCUGGUGAUUCAUAAUAACUGCUCGAAUCGCACGGCCUUGCGCCGGCGAUGGUUCAUUCAAAUUUCUGCCCUAUCAACUUUCGACGGCUGGGUCUUGGCCAGCCAUGGUGACAACGGGUAACGGAGGGUUAGGGCUCGACCCCGGAGAAGGAGCCUGAGAAACGGCUACUACAUCCAAGGAAGGCAGCAGGCGCGCAAAUUACCCAAUCCCGACGCGGGGAGGUAGUGACAAUAAAUACUGAUACAGGGCUCUUUUGGGUCUUGUAAUUGGAAUGAGUACAAUUUAAUUCCCUUAACGAGGAACAAUUGGAGGGCAAGUCUGGUGCCAGCAGCCGCGGUAAUUCCAGCUCCAAUAGCGUAUAUUAAAGUUGUUGCAGUUAAAAAGCUCGUAGUUGAACCUUGGGCCUGGCUGGCCGGUCCGCCUCACCGCGUGCACUGGUCCGGCCGGGCCUUUCCCUCUGGGGAGCCGCAUGCCCUUCACUGGGCGUGCCGGGGAACCAGGACGUUUACUUUGAAAAAAUUAGAGUGUUCAAAGCAGGCUUAUGCUCGGAUACAUUAGCAUGGAAUAAUAGAAUAGGACGCGCGGUUCUAUUUUGUUGGUUUCUAGGACCGCCGUAAUGAUUAAUAGGGACAGUCGGGGGCAUCAGUAUUCAAUUGUCAGAGGUGAAAUUCUUGGAUCUAUUGAAGACUAACUACUGCGAAAGCAUUUGCCAAGGAUGUUUUCAUUAAUCAGGAACGAAAGUUAGGGGAUCGAAGACGAUCAGAUACCGUCGUAGUCUUAACCAUAAACUAUGCCGACUAGGGAUCGGACGGUGUUAUUUUUUGACCCGUUCGGCACCUUACACGAAAGUACAAGUUUCUGGGUUCUGGGGGGAGUAUGGUCGCAAGGCUGAAACUUAAAGAAAUUGACGGAAGGGCACCACCAGGGGUAAACACUUGAUUGUUUCGCCGCAGUUAACUCUGCCCCGGAAAGCCGCCCGAAAGGGUCGGUGGUGCCCCGCUGGCUAGUCGACGCCCCCCGGGCGGGGGGCGGCGGCGACAUCCUCAAAGUGCGGGGAACCCCUAAAGCUCCUGCUCCAAAGCCGGCCCGCGAAAGCAGCCGGUGGCCAGGCGAAAGGCCUC
rnacentral:rRNA from 1 species